rnacentral:rRNA from 1 species
UACGUAGGGUGCGAGCGUUGUCCGGAAUUAUUGGGCGUAAAGAGCUCGUAGGCGGUGUGUCACGUCGGCCGUGAAAACCUGCAGCUUAACUGUGGGCGUGCGGUCGAUACGGGCAUCACUGGAGUUCGGCAGGGGAGACUGGAAUUCCUGGUGUAGCGGUGAAAUGCGCAGAUAUCAGGAGGAACACCGAUGGCGAAGGCAGGUCUCUGGGCAUUAACUGACGCUGAGACGCGAAAGCGUGGGGAGCAAACAGG